AACGAACGCUGGCGGCAGGCUUAACACAUGCAAGUCGAACGCCCCGCAAGGGGAGUGGCAGACGGGUGAGUAACACGUGGGAACAUGCCAAAGGUACGGAAUAUUCUCGGGAAACUGGGAGCAAUACCGUAUGUGCCCGAAAGGGGAAAGAUUUAUCGCCUUUGGAUUGGCCCGCGUUGGAUUAGCUAGUUGGUGGGGUAAAAGCCUACCAAGGCGACGAUCCAUAGCUGGUCUGAGAGGACGACCAGCCACACUGGGGCUGAGACACGGCCCAGACUCCUACGGGAGGCAGCAGUGGGGAAUCUUGGACAAUGGGCGCAAGCCUGAUCCAGCCAUGCCGCGUGAGUGAUGAAGGCCCUAGGGUUGUAAAACUCUUUCGUGGGGGACGAUAAUGACGGUACCCCAAGAAGAAGCUCCGGCUAACUUCGUGCCAGCCGCCGCAGUAAUAC
rnacentral:rRNA from 1 species